rnacentral:rRNA from 1 species
GAUGAACGCUGGCGGCGUGCCUAAUACAUGCAAGUCGAGCGAACGGACGAGAAGCUUGCUUCUCUGAUGUUAGCGGCGGACGGGUGAGUAACACGUGGAUAACCUACCUAUAAGACUGGGAUAACUUCGGGAAACCGGAGCUAAUACCGGAUAAUAUUUUGAACCGCAUGGUUCAAAAGUGAAAGACGGUCUUGCUGUCACUUAUAGAUGGAUCCGCGCUGCAUUAGCUAGUUGGUAAGGUAACGGCUUACCAAGGCAACGAUGCUUAGCCGACCUGAGAGGGUGAUCGGCCACACUGGAACUGAGACACGGUCCAGACUCCUACGGGAGGCAGCAGUAGGGAAUCUUCCGCAAUGGGCGAAAGCCUGACGGAGCAACGCCGCGUGAGUGAUGAAGGUCUUCGGAUCGUAAAACUCUGUUAUUAGGGAAGAACAUAUGUGUAAGUAACUGUGCACAUCUUGACGGUACCUAAUCAGAAAGCCACGGCUAACUACGUG